rnacentral:rRNA from 1 species
UACGUAGGCAGCGAGCGUUGUUCGGAGUUACUGGGCGUAAAGGGUGUGUAGGCGGUUGUUUAAGUUUGGUGUGAAAUCUCCCGGCUCAACUGGGAGGGUGCGCCGAAUACUGAAUGACUUCGAGUGCGGGAGAGGUGAGUGGAAUUCUUGGUGUAGCGGUGAAAUGCGUAGAUAUCAGGAGGAACACCGGUGGUGUAGACGGCUCACUGGACCGUAACUGACGCUGAGACACGAAAGCGUGGGUAGCAAACAGG